rnacentral:lncRNA from 1 species
CUAGUUGCCAAGCGGCUUUGAGAGGCACUAUAUAUGAUUUGGCUCGUGUGGGGUACGUGGCCAAUGGCAUUAUGGCGGGGUGAUGGCCUCUCCGUGACUCCGUAAAAGCAUAAGACAGAAUGGGAGUGACAAGUGAGGCCCUCUCUAUGCAACCCAGCGAGGCGGCUAGCUAUGAAUUGGCCCGAGGGGAUGCCGUAUUGAGGAUGGGUGUUGGCCUCGUGGGACCACUAACGAAAGGCGUAGAAGGCCAGAAAACAUACCUAGAGGCUCGUAUUGUGUAUGCCAGUAUCUAUACUGUUACCCCAAAAAGUGUAGGUACAUAGGGAGAAAUAAUCGAGAAAACAUGACGUACCUGAUGAGCAAUUUGCAAGAUAGUAUGAUAAGAUGAUACAGGUGAUCUGUAGCAACCUACAAGAGUAAUUUUGAGUUUGUGAGGGGUUAAAAUAUGUACCCCUCAGUCCCCUGCUAUCCCGAUACCUACCAGUAAUUAUUCCGAGAGACUGGAACCAAAUACUCAAAAAGAGCAAGGAUGCCUAUACCUAGUAAUACAGAAAAACACAUAUAAGGACCCAUGUCUUGCGUGACCAAUAAGGUAUAAUUAAUCGUGAUUACUGACCUAUGUUAAUUUACAAAAGUUGGUAGAGUAGCAGCCCACUGUGGAAUUGAUGUUGAAUACUGAAAACAUAAGAGGUCCAUAGUCGUCAAAACCGGCUAAUCAUUGCUUGUACUAAUAUGUCUUUAAUAUGUGUUGAUACUAAUACUAAGAUAUAUAGUAGGCCAAAGUAUUAUGUGGAUCGCAAAAAACAAACUCUUCCUGAACACUGACAAAACUGUCACAAUGAUCUUUGGAACAGUACCUAAAUUACACAAAUUACACAAUUUCCACCUAUCCAUCAAAACAAAUUCAAAUGGCACACUGACCGCAGUCCACUCUUUCAAAUACCUGGGUAUGAUAUUAGACCCCAAUCUAUCUUUUGGCCUGCACAUAGAAAAGCUUGCAUUUAAACUUUAUCCAAAAUUAGGUGCCCUGUACAGAAACAAAGCCUGCCUAAGCCCUACAGUAAAGGAAAAGAUUGUACAGCAAAUGCUGAUGCCAAUCAUUGAUUAUGGGGAUGUAGUAUAUGCGUCUGCAUCGCAAUCCCACAUUAAUAAACUCAACACAUUGUAUAACUCGUUCUGCCGAUUUGUGCUACAAUGUAAUUACAGGACCCAUCAUUGUGACAUGCUAAAGGAACUAAACUGGCUGUCGCUGGAAUCCAGACGCAUCCUUCAUCUUUCCAGCCUUGUUUUUAAGAGCUUUUCUGGGAAACUCCCACCCUACCUGAACAAAAUGCUUUCCCCAGCUGUUCCCACUUUCUAUAAGCUCCGAUCCAGUACAAGCACUUUACUUAGUCUACCUCAAUACAAAAAGAAAGCGGCCCGAUCCUCUUUCUCCUACAGAGCGCCGCAAUUGUGGAACGACCUCCCGCACAAUUUAAAAUCUUCCCUAAGUCUAAAGUAAUUUAAGAGAUCCCUCUCUACAUACCUCAAAACAGAAUGCACUUGUCAUGGUUGAUUAUAUAUUUCCUGCCUGUUCUAUGUUAAAUUUUGUAUAUAUUGUGUAUUAAUAUUGUUUUUGUAUUUUGUUGUACCUAAUGUAACAAUGCAAUGAUUUGUGGACCCAGGACAUACUUGAAAACGAGAGAAAUCUAAAUGUAUCUUUCCUG